rnacentral:rRNA from 1 species
AUGUGGAAUGAUGAUCUUCAAGUUCAUGUGCAUACGGCUUCCUUCUAUGUUAUCUUAGCGAGCGUAGUUCAUGUAGCAACGGGUAGGGAUUUUGGUCUAGUUUGCAUCUAUGGUGAUCCUUAUCAUAGACAAACUGAUGUGAUUUGGGAUCAGAUUUCAAAUUGUGUGUAUUAUAAUCCUGGAAAGACAUUGUUAUGUAUGGGUGAUCUUAAUGAGCUUUUGUAUGAUAUGGAUAAAAGUAAUGCUAAUGUGAAUUAUCGUCUCCUGUUUGCUUUUCGUGCUUUGGUUAAGAAUUGUGGUUUUUUUUGA